AUUGAACGCUGGCGGAAUGCUUUACACAUGCAAGUCGAACGGCAGCACGGGGGCAGCCCUGGUGGCGAGUGGCGAACGGGUGAGUAAUACAUCGGAACGUGCCCGGUCGUGGGGGAUAACGUAGCGAAAGUUACGCUAAUACCGCAUACGAUCUGAGGAUGAAAGCGGGGGACCUUCGGGCCUCGCGCGAUCGGAGCGGCCGAUGGCAGAUUAGGUAGUUGGUGGGGUAAAGGCCUACCAAGCCGACGAUCUGUAGCUGGUCUGAGAGGACGACCAGCCACACUGGGACUGAGACACGGCCCAGACUCCUACGGGAGGCAGCAGUGGGGAAUUUUGGACAAUGGGCGCAAGCCUGAUCCAGCCAUUCCGCGUGCAGGACGAAGGCCUUCGGGUUGUAAACUGCUUUUGUACGGAACGAAAAGGCUCUGGCUAAUACCUGGGGCUCAUGACGGUACCGUAAGAAUAAGCACCGGCUAACUACGUG
rnacentral:rRNA from 1 species